rnacentral:rRNA from 1 species
AUGAACGCUGGCGGCGUGCCUCAUCCCUGCCAGUCGCGCGAACAGACGAGGAGCUUGCUCCUCUGACGUUAGCGGCGGACGGGUGAGUAACACGUGGAUAACCUACCUAUAAGACUGGGAUAACUUCGGGAAACCGGAGCUAAUACCGGAUAAUAUAUUGAACCGCAUGGUUCAAUAGUGAAAGACGGUUUUGCUGUCACUUAUAGAUGGAUCCGCGCCGCAUUAGCUAGUUGGUAAGGUAACGGCUUACCAAGGCAACGAUGCGUAGCCGACCUGAGAGGGUGAUCGGCCACACUGGAACUGAGACACGUUCCAGACUCCUACGGGAGGCAGCAGUAGGGAAUCUUCCGCAAUGGGCGAAAGCCUGACGGAGCAACGCCGCGUGAGUGAUGAAGGUCUUCGGAUCGUAAAACUCUGUUAUUAGGGAAGAACAAAUGUGUAAGUAACUAUGCACGUCUUGACGGUACCUAAUCAGAAAGCCACGGCUAACUACGU